rnacentral:rRNA from 1 species
GUGGGGGGAUUAGUGGCGAACGGGUGAGUAACACGUGAGUAACCUGCCCUUAACUCUGGGAUAAGCCUGGGAAACUGGGUCUAAUACCGGAUAUGACUCCUCAUCGCAUGGUGGGGGGUGGAAAGCUUUAUUGUGGUUUUGGAUGGACUCGCGGCCUAUCAGCUUGUUGGUGAGGUAAUGGCUCACCAAGGCGACGACGGGUAGCCGGCCUGAGAGGGUGACCGGCCACACUGGGACUGAGACACGGCCCAGACUCCUACGGGAGGCAGCAGUGGGGAAUAUUGCACAAUGGGCGAAAGCCUGAUGCAGCGACGCCGCGUGAGGGAUGACGGCCUUCGGGUUGUAAACCUCUUUCAGUAGGGAAGAAGCGAAAGUGACGGUACCUGCAGAAGAAGCGCCGGCUAACUACGUGCCAGCAGCCGCGGUAAUACGUAGGGCGCAAGCGUUAUCCGGAAUUAUUGGGCGUAAAGAGCUCGUAGGCGGUUUGUCGCGUCUGCCGUGAAAGUCCGGGGCUCAACUCCGGAUCUGCGGUGGGUACGGGCAGACUAGAGUGAUGUAGGGGAGACUGGAAUUCCUGGUGUAGCGGUGAAAUGCGCAGAUAUCAGGAGGAACACCGAUGGCGAAGGCAGGUCUCUGGGCAUUAACUGACGCUGAGGAGCGAAAGCAUGGGGAGCGAACAGGAUUAGAUACC